rnacentral:lncRNA from 1 species
AUCCAAGACUGGAAUUCUUCUUCCUAUAGGGUUGCAUAAUCACAAGAGCUCUGGAGCACAGAGAGGCUUCUGUUUAGAUCCUGGUUCCUUUAAGCAUAGACUGUGUUCUCCUGGACUGUGUGGACAAAUCUCUGCACCAUAAAAAGAGUAUGAUUUCCUUAGCAGGGUGGUGAGGAUUUAGUGAUCUGAUUCAUGUAAAAGUAACAACAUAAGACCUGGGAUGUAGUAAGGGCGUCAUAGUGUCUCUCCUAGAUCAUCAACUAUUAGACAUUUAAAUUCCAAAAACUUCCUUCUAUUGAAUAGUAUGUAUCGGAGAAUAUGAUCCCUUGUUCUUUGGUCAGAUGUUACAGUCACACUAGAUGAGUGAGGGACAGUGGAGACAUGGAACCGAGACCUGAAAGGAUUAUGACAUGUUUAUAAAAUGUCCCACGUGAGCCAUCAGUACUGUGGUUAGCAAACUGAAGGAUGGAGCUGGUAAGGCUAGCAGGACGGUCUUCUUGGGCUCACAAAUACAAGCCGACACUGCGUGUAAGAGCCCUCCACGGGGGAAAUAAGACCCUUUUUCCUAUCAGCUAUGCUAAGGAGAAAGGCAAAGAUACCCAGACACAUCAUUACUAUGGUCAUAAAACUUAUGUGACUCUUUAGAGGGAGAAACAAAGACCUGAAAAUGCAGUACUU